AGGCCUCCAUGGAUUCCCAGCUGCCCUGGAAUCUCCUGUUUCAGGGGGAGUUCACAGGAAGCCAUGUUAGGGCAUUUCCAUGUCGUCCUGGGCCCAGACUUCCAGCCCCGAGCAAGGACUUCAAGUCUUGGUCAACUGCCAUGACAGGGCCUCAGCAUGGCAGCUCUCACUGCAAAAGCUGGCAGGCCUUCAGAAGAAGCUGAAGGUUCCUCUGCCAUUUCCAGUGUAAUUCUCUGAAGCCCGGGCCCAUCCAGUUUAACUGAGUAGCUCCCCUUCUCAUACUCCUCCCACUGUGAUGAGAGGCAGAAUGAGGCUCGCUAUAACACAUUGUGAAACAGGUAAGAGGAGGCAGAACCGAGGGUACAAAUUCAUUUUUCUUGUUGCCAUAUUUCCUUGCUCGUUAUAGUUUCUUUGCACCCUAGAGCUCUUGUCAGCGACCCAUUUUGUGAAUGGAGACAUUUCUGCUUUGAAGUCAUAAUUUAUCCUGCAAGAGCUGCUAAAAGAAGCACUUUUAAACUCAGAUCUGAGCGAAGGCUGGGAAUUGUCAGACCCACCAAAUCAGAAAAUCUUACACUCCUACAAGAAAUUCAUGGUAAGAUGAAAGAGCCACAUCUGGGGCUGGGCACCUGCAGGCACAGACCCAUUCACCUGC
rnacentral:lncRNA from 10 species